rnacentral:rRNA from 1 species
AGUGGGGAAAUUGCACAAUGGAGGAAACUCUGAUGCAGCAACGCCGCGUGGAGGAUGACGCAUUUCGGUGUGUAAACUCCUUUUAUAUAGGAAGAUAAUGACGGUACUAUAUGAAUAAGCACCGGCUAACUCCGUGCCAGCAGCCGCGGUAAUACGGAGGGUGCAAGCGUUACUCGGAAUCACUGGGCGUAAAGCGCAUGCAGGCGGUUUAUUAAGUUGGAAGUGAAAUCCUAUGGCUCAACCAUAGAACUGCUUCCAAAACUGAUAGACUAGAGUCUGGGAGGGGAAGAUGGAAUUAGUAGUGUAGGGGUAAAAUCCGUAGAGAUUACUAGGAAUACCAAAAGCGAAGGCGAUCUUCUGGAACAGUACUGACGCUGAGAUGCGAAAGCGUGGGGAGCAAACAGGAUUAGAUACCCUGGUAGUCCACGCAGUAAACGAUGAAUGUUAGUCGUUGGGACUCUAGUAGUUUCAGUGAUGCAGUUAACACAUUAAACAUUCCGCCUGGGGAGUACGGUCGCAAGAUUAAAACUCAAAGGAAUAGACGGGGACCCGCACAAGUGGUGGAGCAUGUGGUUUAAUUCGAAGAUACGCGAAGAACCUUACCUAGCCUUGACAUACUACAGAAUUUGACAGAGAUGUUGAAGUGCCUUCGGGAGCUGUAAUACAGGUGCUGCACGGCUGUCGUCAGCUCGUGUCGUGAGAUGUUGGGUUAAGUCCCGCAACGAGCGCAACCCUCGUCCUUAGUUACUAACGGUUCGGCCGAGGACUCUAAGGAGACUGCCUUCGUAAGGAGGAGGAAGGUGAGGACGACGUCAAGUCAUCAUGGCCCUUACGGCUAGGGCAACACACGUGCUACAAUGGUUAGGACAAUGAGAAGCGAUACCGCGAGGUGGAGCAAAUCUAUAAACCUAAUCUCAGUUCGGAUAGCAGUCUGCAACUCGACUGCUUGAAGCUGGAAUCACUAGUAAUCGUAAAUCAGCUAUGUUACGGUGAAUACGU